GUAGGGGGCAAGCGUUGUCCGGAUUUAUUGGGCGUAAAGAGCGUGUAGGCGGCCAGACAGGUCCGCUGUGAAGACUCGAGGCUCAACCUCGAGAUGUCGGUGGAAACCGUUUGGCUAGAGUCCGGAAGAGGAGAGUGGAAUUCCUGAUGUAGCGGUGAAAUGCGCAGAUAUCAGGAAGAACACCCAUGGCGAAGGCAGCUCUCUGGGACGGUACUGACGCUGAGACGCGAAAGCGUGGGGAGCGAACAGGAUUAGAUACCCUGGUAGUCCACGCCGUAAACGAUGGGUGCUAGGUGUGGGCGGUGUCGACUCCGUCCGUGCCGAAGCUAACGCAUUAAGCACCCCGCCUGGGGGAGUACGGCCGCAAGGCUA
rnacentral:rRNA from 1 species